rnacentral:rRNA from 1 species
CAAGCCGCGUGAAGGAAGACUGUUCUAUGAAUUGUAAACUUCUUUUGUGGUAGAGUAAAUAUAGCUACGUGUAGUUAUUUGCAAGUAUACCAUGAAUAAGCAUCGGCUAACUCCGUGCCAGCAGCCGCGGUAAUACGGAGGAUGCAGGCGUUAUCCGGAUUUAUUAGGUUUAAAGGGUGUCUAGACUGCCACAUAAGUCAGGGGUGAAAGUCGGUUGCUCAACAAUCGAAUUGCCUUUGAAACUGUGUGGCUCGAGUAUAGAUGAGGUAGGCGGAAUGUGUAGUGUAGCGGUGAAAUGCAUAGAUAUUACACAGAACCCCAAUUGCGAAGGCAGCUUACCAAACUAUUACUGACGCUGAAGCACGAAAGCGUGGGUAGCGAACAGGAUUAGAUACCCUGGUAGUCCACGCCGUAAACUAUGCUCACUCGCUGUUGGCAAUAGAUCGUCAGCGGCUAAGGGAAACCGAUAAGUGAGCCACCUGGGGAGUACGAUCGCAAGAUUGAAACUCAAAGGAAUUGACGGGGGCCCGCACAAGCGGAGGAACAUGUGGUUUAAUUCGAUGAUACGCGAGGAACCUUACCUGGGCUUAAAUGUAGAGUGCAUAAAGUGGAAACAUUUUUUUCCUUCGGGACUCUUUACAAGGUGCUGCAUGGUUGUCGUCAGCUCGUGCCGUGAGGUGUCGGGUUAAGUCCCAUAACGAGCGCAACCCCUAUCGUUAGUUACCAGCACGUAGUGGUGGGGACUCUAGCGAAACUGCCGGUGUAAACCGUGAGGAAGGUGGGGAUGACGUCAAAUCAGCACGGCCCUUAUGUCCAGGGCUACACACGUGUUACAAUGGUCGGUACAGUGGGCAGCCACAUAGCAAUAUGGAGCUAAUCUCAAAAGCCGAUCUCAGUUCGGAUUGGAGUCUGCAACCCGACUCCAUGAAGGUGGAUUCGCUAGUAAUCGCGCAUCAGCCAUGGCGCGGUGAAUACGUUCCCGNGGCCUUGUACACACCGCCCGUCAAGCCAUGGAAGUUUGGGGUGCAUGAAGUUCGUAACCGCAAGGAGCG